AAAAAGGAAGAAAACACUGGAACCGAAGAGGGCAGCGGCCACUGCCGCACACCGCCGGCGCCGCCGGCGCCAUCCGCCCCCGAUUCCGCGAUGCUCCUCUUACCUUCUCCUCUGACGCAGCUGCGCCGCCGCCCACCAUCUGCCCCUCGUUCCCGAGUCUCCUCCUCCCCCCGCCCCAUCUCCUCCAACGCCUACGUUGGCGAGUACGCCGCCGGCACAUUCCGUCCCUCGAGUCCGCAACACCAUUCCUGCCUCCUCCUCUGAUGCAGAAACCCGGCUGCCCACCACCUCCCCCCUCCUACUGGCCGGCUCCUCGGGUCCUCCUCCACGCUCUACUCAUCCUCAGCGGCGCCGGCGCCGACGCCAGCUUCCCUGCCGACGCGCUCCACGGCCGUCCUCUUUGCGCACACGCUGGUCCACACCCACGUCCUCCUUCAGUCCACCCCGUCUCAGAUACAACUGGUCUGGUGUGAUGGUUGACAUGGGGUACUAUGCCUCUGCUUCCCAAUCCGUCCCGCCUCCCAAGUUCAAUUUUUUCUGUCCUUAGAGUUCAAAUCCGCGCGCCCAGUUCGAACUGUCCAGAAACCACUCCUGCAGCCCAGUAUAAAUAAGUGGGUAGGCUUAUGGGACUCACGCUACUCAAACUACACCUCCAAGAAGGCACGCAUUAACCUUCAGAUCGAACAGAUUGUGGGGAAGUGUGAUUCACUCCUCUUCGCCAUCUAAUCUUCAUCAAGGGCAAGAUAUGACAAGCUCAAGUCACUCGUCUUUGGAUGAUGAAGUGACAAAAGAAUCAUCUAUGAUUUUUCGUACUAAUGGCAUGCUCAUAUCAACUGAUGACUUGGUGCGAGGUGAAAGUUCAAAAGGGCGAAAGUGUGCACGUGAAGCCAUAAGAUAUGCUAGCCGUACACCAGAACAAAUCCAAGCAAGGCGAGAACGUGUUAGAGCACGUCGGCAAAAUUUAACACCUAAGAUUAAUGCACACAGAAGAGAGAAAAUACAAUGAAUGACACUUGAUGAGAGGAAUGCAAGCCAACGAGCGCGUAGGUAAAGUUUGACAUUAGAUGAGAGGCAAGAAAGAAAUCCACGCCGGCGAGAACGUAGGCAAAGCCUACCACUUGAAGAGCGGCAAGCACUCCUAGCUCAAUGUAAUGCAAGCUACGCAUCUAAACGAGAUGCCAUCUGCAGUGAUUCUGUUGCACUAUGUUGCUCUUUCUAGAGCUACAUCUAGAAGUAAUAUGAAGAUUCUUACUGUCCCAGAUAAGCAAAAGGAAGGCCAGUCCUACUCCAUUGCAAAUUUUACAAAGAACAUAGUCUACAAAGAAGUUCUCAGCAUGUAGUACAAGAUGGAUGACGUGAGAGCCCUAGAGCUAAUAUUGUUGGCAUAAAUGUUUUGAUCAAACAACUAAAGAAGAGUAUACUAUGCUGAGAAAUGACUUCAUGGCCUGAUAGAUGCCUAAGUAAGUAUGGUGGCAUGAAAUGUUCAAUUCCUGGAUGAAUGGUAACACAAUAGCUUGUUUUGCUUUCUACAGCCUUUCCAAGGAAAGAAGCAGUUAUGUUGCAGUGGUAAUAAGGCUUGACAUGAUGAUAUGUAUUGGAGAUUGCUUGUUGUGCUGGUGAUUUUGGGAGAUCUGGUGUGAGUGCAGUCAUCACAUUUAUCACAAUUGGGAGUUAUCGCCUGCAACGCUCAUGCGGCUUGCGAUUGACGAAGCCAAUGUUCGAAGGAUGCUGACGCACGGCACAUCAUUUUGCCAAAUUAAUCUAGCUUACCGAGCCCGAUCAUUUUGGUUGACCUUGUAUGUACUCUCUUAUAUAUGCAAGUUAUGUACCAAUUGUUCCUACGAGAUGGAGAUGGAGCAGAAAGAGUUUGGCCUGGACAAAUGGGAUUAGAAAUCAUAUGUUUGACUUUCUUUGAUGUCUACCUAUCAAUAAUAAUAUA